rnacentral:rRNA from 1 species
UACGGGGGGGGCAAGCGUUGUUCGGAAUUACUGGGCGUAAAGGGCUUGUAGGUGGCCAACUAAGUCAGACGUGAAAUCCCUCGGCUUAACCGGGGAACUGCGUCUGAUACUGGAUGGCUUGGAUCCGGGAGAGGGAUGCGGAAUUCCAGGUGUAGCGGUGAAAUGCGUAGAUAUCUGGAGGAACACCGGUGGCGAAGGCGGCAUCCUGGACCGGUAUUGACGCUGAGGAGCGAAAGCCAGGGGAGCAAACGGG